rnacentral:sRNA from 1 species
AGUCUGCAUUGUUGAAUUUAGUUUUUC